UGAGAUUAAGUUUUUGGAAUCUAUUGAAGGGUGUGUGUUUCUUCAAAACACAUUUCAAACACUCUCAAGCGCAUGAGGCAACUUCAGCAUGUCGACACGUUCUGCAAAUCCAGUCAGCAAGAGGCUGAACUCUUGAUUAAGCAGGAGAGAAGCAGUUCAGUGAUUUCCCAGAUUCGCUCUGAAACAAGAUCUCACAGACUGACACAGAGAGCAACAGUCUCCUUCAAUAACAGGAAUCCUGACUGGGAGCAUUCCUGUCACACAACGUUAGCACCAUUUGCUUAUUGGAGCAAACAAUGGUUUCUGUCAAUUUCAUUUUCAUAAGCUGGAUGAUUAUAGAGCUUAUCCUCUGCAUCCAGUCCAACAUGUUGCUUUCCCACAUCCAGAGUGAUGCGUGAGACUUUAUCAGAGGAGCUGCCUGAUUCUUUUAAACUCUGCUGCAGAUGGACUUUUAACACAAACUGUUUACUGCUGCAGUGACAGAUGAAUUAAUGUAAUGCAAUCACAGAGGAGUUUGAGUGGCAUUUUUCAAAGGCGGAAACUAUGUGAAAAAAAUCUCCCUGCUGAACCUUAAGCACCACUGGUGCCUCUGUUCACACGACGAACCACCCUUGCAGGUUUUGCCUUACAGCUGAUGAGCCUUGGUUCAGUUCAGACCUGCUCUGGUUGCUCGCUGCUGCAGCAGAAAAUCUUCCUUGCUGUGUCAUUUUUACAUGAUUGCUGACUCUUCGUUACAAUCUCGGUGACUCUAGCUAAAACAAAAAAGAGUGCACGUGGUGCCUAAAAUAAGUGUUGAACAAGUACAUUUUUUUUCACUUUAAUUAUUUCAAAUGGAGUCAUGGAUAUGAGAUUCACAGCAGAUGCAACAACCCAACAAAUCUACACAUGCAAAAAUUUAAAUAAAAGCAAAUUACUGUGUGAAGAGGAAAAUAAACGUGGAAGUGAAAUUUAGAAAGUGUUCCUGCUACUGCGUUCAAAUCAAUAUAUUGUUUAAUAUUAACUGAUAGCCCAUAAAAACGUUUCUCAUUACAAAAGAAUGUUACAGAGUGGACCUUCAUAAAAACUCCCGCUGAUGCAAAACUUUGCUAUGGCAACGGUGGUAGCUGCAAUGUCCAGGCAAGUGCCACUGGAGUCAUAAUAAUCCAGAACUGAAAAGAAUAAAAUUUCACUGUAAACCAGCUGCAAGCAGGUGCUCCUCUCAAGAGGUUUGAUGGAGAAGUUAAAAAAAUAAUCAAAAGUUAUUUUUCCCAGAGCCAAGAAGCACUUGGAGCUUCAGCAAGACCUUGGAAGUCAGAUAUAGUUUCUGCCAUGAAGAUACUGAGCAACACACUCAACCACAAUGGCCUUGUUCUCAACAAGGUUUUGUUGAAACUUUUCGAAAUCGAUCCCGGGAAUGUAAUAUACACCAAUAUCACAACACAGCUGGAAACAUGACCCUAAAGGAGGAGGAAAGAGGGGGCAGUUUGCAGCAGGAGGCCGUCGAAUGAAAUGAAGGAAACGGGAAGGAAAUGACAAAUGUUUGCUCCAUGAGACUGCAAACUGCCGUUCUCUCUUCACCGUCCUGUGUGGAAACUUCAGCUCACAAAUGCAUACUUCCACGCUCUGUUGUUGUCAACGUAAAAAAAAAAAAAAAAAAGAAAUAAACAGACUGAGGUAAUGAUUGGAUGAUACUAAGAUUUUGAUGUUAGGACAAAAAGACAGAAGCUAUAUGAAGAGAGGAAGAGGAACUGAAAGACAGAUUGAAAUAAAAGAGAGACUGAGGAACAGACAGAGUUUUCCUCAUUCCUGCAUAAAGGAAGAUAAACAGAUGGUCCCAAUGUUUGAUUCAGGUGUAAAUGCUUCUCAUGUGCCUAUGAUUGGCAGCACCUCAUUCAGGACUCCUACAGCAUGGAAACCACAGUGCAUAUGCUUUAAGCCUUGCCUGAAUUAGUCUACACUGAUUCUUCAAAGGAUGUUUUUACACCUUACAGUAAAGGGAGACAGAUGAUUUAAACUGACAUCCAGCAGCAGAGAUAAACAAUGCUAAAGGCUGAGGAUACUGGAAACGUGGAGAAUGGACCAGAGAGAAGCAGCAGCAAUUGCCUGACAAGAACAUGACUCCAAACUGACAGUGCAGUUUCUUUUAAAGAGGCCACGGUGGAACACAUCUUCCACACGAAGUUCAUUCCCACAUUGACUACAGUGUGUUGCACGUGAUGGCAUGGUUACACUAAAAAUCACCUUCAGCAGCGGUUUCCAUCAUGGAGGACUGUGAUGAUUACAAACUUUUGAACCACAAAUUACAGAGUUGUGUAUCCAAAUCCUCAUCAUCUGCAUUUAUUUCUGAGGAAAGGUCACCACACCUCCACGCUGUGACUCAACCCCUCUGACGUCUCUCGCGCUUCGGGUGAAAUCGGAGCUGGGAACACUCACGGACAGCCCGUGUGCCUUCCCAGGUCCUCUCAUGUAUUAUGGACAACAAGAUUUAAUGGUUUAAAAUUAAACUGUGUGGCUGCCUGGCAGUAGUGCUGAUGUAGAACAGUGAUCGCCUGUGGCUUUGUUCAGUGAGCGGUUAAUUAGAAAGCUCCACUCUUGUGCCUCUGUCAGGUCAGAGUCUGACUGUCAGGUCUAUUUACUGUUUGUCUGUGGGAAAACUGAGUGUACUUACACUAUAUUCAGAGCCACUUCCUCUGAAAAUUAUAGUGUUGUUACCUUUGAUAAAUGGUUUCCAUGUGUUGACACAGCAGCCAGCAGGAACGCAGAUAUAAUCGUAAAUAUGACCUCUGUAGUGUGAACAUUUAUCUUUAUGCACAUGCCCUUUCUUCUUUCUUUUUUAUGAGCAUGGUAGUGUGAUUUAAUGUUGAUUUCUAUGAGAUAGCUAUAACACACAGCAGGUCUAUUUUUUAAAGAAUAUUGCAGCAUUCAAGAUUCAACAUAUGUUUAAAGCUGAAUUAAAGUUUCCCAUUUAAAACAACUGACUUGUG